rnacentral:rRNA from 1 species
GACGAACGCUGGCGGCGUGCCUAAUACAUGCAAGUAGAACGCUGAAGAGAGGAGCUUGCUCUUCUUGGAUGAGUUGCGAACGGGUGAGUAACGCGUAGGUAACCUGCCUGGUAGCGGGGGAUAACUAUUGGAAACGAUAGCUAAUACCGCAUAAUAGCAGUUAUUGCAUGAUAACUGUUUGAAAGGUGCAAUUGCAUCACUACCAGAUGGACCUGCGUUGUAUUAGCUAGUUGGUGGGGUAACGGCUCACCAAGGCGACGAUACAUAGCCGACCUGAGAGGGUGAUCGGCCACACUGGGACUGAGACACGGCCCAGACUCCUACGGGAGGCAGCAGUAGGGAAUCUUCGGCAAUGGACGGAAGUCUGACCGAGCAACGCCGCGUGAGUGAAGAAGGUUUUCGGAUCGUAAAGCUCUGUUGUAAGAGAAGAACGAGUG